rnacentral:tRNA from 1 species
CAGGGAGUAGUUUAAUAAAAAUAUUAACUUUGGGAGUUAUUGAUAUGGAUCUAUCUUUUUCUCUGA